AUACGUAGGGGGCGAGCGUUGUCCGGAAUGAUUGGGUGUAAAGGGAGCGUAGACGGCAUAGCAAGUCUGAAGUGAAAUCCCAUGGCUUAACCAUAGAACUGCUUUGGAAACUGCCAGGCUAGAGUGCAGGAGAGGUAAGCGGAAUUCCUAGUGUAGCGGUGAAAUGCGUAGAUAUUAGGAGGAACACCAGUGGCGAAGGCGGCUUACUGGACUGUAACUGACGUUGAGGCUCGAAAGCGUGGGGAGCAAACAGGAUUAGAUACCCUGGUAGUCCACGCUGUAAACGAUGAUUACUAGGUGUUGGGGACCAAAGGUCCUCGGUGCCGCCGCAAACGCAUUAAGUAAUCCACCUGGGGAGUACGUUCGCAAGAAUGAAACUCAAAGGAAUUGACGGGG
rnacentral:rRNA from 1 species